GAUGAACGCUGGCGGCGUGCCUAAUACAUGCGAGUCGAGCGAACAGACGAGGAGCUUGCUCCUCUGACGUUAGCGGCGGACGGGUGAGUAACACGUGGAUAACCUACCUAUAAGACUGGGAUAACUUCGGGAAACCGGAGCUAAUACCGGAUAAUAUAUUGAACCGCAUGGUUCAAUAGUGAAAGACGGUUUUGCUGUCACUUAUAGAUGGAUCCGCGCCGCAUUAGCUAGUUGGUAAGGUAACGGCUUACCAAGGCAACGAUGCGUAGCCGACCUGAGAGGGUGAUCGGCCACACUGGAACUGAGACACGGUCCAGACUCCUACGGGAGGCAGCAGUAGGGAAUCUUCCGCAAUGGGCGAAAGCCUGACGGAGCAACGCCGCGUGAGUGAUGAAGGUCUUCGGAUCGUAAAACUCUGUUAUUAGGGAAGAACAAAUGUGUAAGUAACUAUGCACGUCUGGACGGUACCUAAUCAGAAAGCCACGGCUAACUAAGU
rnacentral:rRNA from 1 species